rnacentral:tRNA from 1 species
CGCGGGGGGCAGCAGCCUGGUAGUUCGUCGGGUUCAUAACCCGAAGGUCGUCGGUUCAAAUCCGGCCCCCGCAACCA